rnacentral:misc_RNA from 1 species
UCCGAUUUGUCACCGGCAGUCUCCCAUGAGUCCCCGACAUCACUCGCUGGCAACUAAGGACGAGGGUUGCGCUCGUUGCGGGACUUAACCCAACACCUCACGACACGAGCUGACGACAGCCAUGCAGCACCUGUCUCAGAGUUCCCGAAGGCACCAAUCCAUCUCUGGAAAGUUCUCUGGAUGUCAAGACCUGGUAAGGUUCUUCGCGUUGCGUCGAAUUAAACCACAUGCUCCACCGCUUGUGCGGGCCCCCGUCAAUUCAUUUGAGUUUUAAUCUUGCGACCGUACUCCCCAGGCGGUCUACUUAUUGCGUUAGCUGCGCCACUAAGUCCUCAAGGAACCCAACGGCUAGUAGACAUCGUUUACGGCGUGGACUAC